rnacentral:lncRNA from 1 species
AUGGGCAGGAGGGGGGUCCCGGGGGCGAGCACCAGCCGCCUCCCGCAGGUGCCCGCGGCUGCAGCAGGGACCCCGCGCAAACCCCGCGCAAACCCCGCGCAGCCGGAGCCGGAGGCGGGGGCGGGCGGCGCUGCGCGGAGGGAGCGGCGGGGGGGCGGCGGCGAGAGGGCGCAGCCGGCGGAGGAGAGCAGGGGAGGGAGAGGGAAGGGAGAGGAGAGAGAGGGGGAGAGGAGAGGAGAGGGAAGGGAGAGAGGAGGGAGGGAGCGGAGCGCAGCCCCGUCGCCGGGAAGGCAGCCGGAGCUCCUGCGCGCAGCAAGGCUUGUGAACGAGCAUGGCAGAAAACGGAGCAGUUUGUGGUAAAAGAUAGAGAUUGGAGGAACAGCUCCUAGAUCCUACAAGAAGUCUCUAGGGACCCACUGUUCACUGGAGCUGAGUUCCGUUGCAUUAUGCAUUAUGUAGAAUAAAUAUAUAUAAUGAUGUGUGGCA